GGGGAGAUACCAGAGUGGCCAAAUGGGACCGACUGUAACUCGGUUGGGAAACCUUCGGAGGUUCGAAUCCUCCUCUCCCCACCC
rnacentral:tRNA from 1 species